UUCGAUACGAGAAAUCGUCGGGAUUUGAGAUUAUUGAUGAUCCUACUUCACCUGAUGAUCCUCACGCUCUUAUUUCGCUAUCUGGACUUUAACACAAGAUCACGAAUAUGAGACGAUAAAGACAAAUUCCGGUUACAAAUACAGGCGCUGCGUCAAACCGUGGUUCACUAAUGCCUUUGAAAUCGGCGAGGUUUUAUUUCUGCUGUGGGGUGUUUGGCUUUGUAUCCGUGUACGAAAUGCUCCCUCGGCGUACAACGAGAGCAAGUACAUCGCCUGGUGUAUAUAUAACACUCUGUUUGUUAAGAUCGUAGUUGGUCUUCUGAGAAUUGUUCUAGAUAACUUUCACAAUCCUGAUGUGGCGUAUGUCGUAAACAGUUUGUCAACGCAUGUCAUUGCCACCGUUAUGUUGGUUUUGCUCUUUGCUUUCAAGGUAUACUUCUUGAAAAAAUACAAUGUAAAUCAAAGAAGGCGUUCUCGGGGUAGUUCGUCUAUAGCCACAACGAUGACGGAUCUUCGUAAAUCACCAUUUCAUCUCAACCGUUUGGAGGACGGUACUUUGGUGUGCGAAAACGAUGAAGAGAAAAGCCGCGAGGGUCUGGAAACUGAGAAUAUACAACUGAGGGAGGAAAUACGUGAUUUGACUGCGAAACUUGCAGCAUGUGAAUACAAACAACAACGAGAGCAGAGACGACAACAAGGAAGUCCACAAGAAAACAGCUACAUUUCCACGAGUAGCGAGACUCGUCACUCCAGAUUCAACAGCGAGACGGAGAGCGCUCAGGGUUGAGAGUCGGAAUCUCCCGAUAAAAUUGGUCAAAAGGUGUCGAACGUUGCCGACAGCUUGACAAGCAACAGUAGCGUGUUCACACGCGAGGAAAGAGGUGGAAGUUUAAUAGAAGAUAUUAAAAACGCUGAUCGUUUUAUCGCCCUACCAAACGGUAGUAGCGUUUCCGAUGAAGAAACUUUAACGGUCAUGUCAAACGUUUCUGUUGAAUCCUCGUGAUAUUGAAAAGAUUCUUGGAGGAAUAUGGCCGUGUGUUCUACUGAAGAGAAUAUUUAUGGAUCCUGUUUCAGGAAAGAUGAGAUUUGACAAUGAACUGUGGUACAACUUGACUACCACGAAGAUGUUUCCACAUAAAGAUUAACUCCUACGAGAAGAAAGUUAAUUAUAAACGAUCGAAUCGACUUACUAAACCUUUCCCACAAUAAAUAUUCAAACGCAAAAAACGACAUGCAUUUCGUUAAGAAAAUGUGAAACAUUUUAUGCU